rnacentral:lncRNA from 1 species
GGGUAUAAAUAUCCCUCCAACCUGAGACCACCACGAUGACUUGCAAGCAACUCACUGCACUUAGGCACUGGACUACCUGAAUUUUUAAUUCAGUGACGGAAGGCUGCUGGGUGUAGUCAAGUACUUGACUUGUCGGUGCGUGUGUCAAGAUGGGAUUGACCACUCCAGUUUAGGAGCUGUGUACAGUCAUGUUUCAAUUUAGCAAAACCUUGGCCAGGGUAGUCCUUGUGAGGAGUUACAGG